rnacentral:rRNA from 1 species
UCGAAUCCUGCCUAACAGAAUGACCAGAGAA